AUGGCGCAGCGCGGGCGUGUGGAGCUGCGGCGGAUCGAGGACCGGACGAGCCGCCAAGUGCGCUUCUCCAAGCGCCGCUCAGGGCUCUUCAAGAAGGCCUUCGAGCUCUCGCUCCUCUGCGACGCCGAGGUCGCGCUGCUCGUCUUCUCCCCCGCCGGAAAGCUCUAUGAGUACGCCUCCUCCAGGUGCACGCCCGCCGCCACGCACUUUUUUUUACUUACUCCUCUACAAAGCUAG
rnacentral:rRNA from 1 species